ACCACCACUGUCAGGAUUUUGUAAGGAAGUAAUGUUACAGUGAUCUUGAGCUUCACUUGUUCUUCUCAGCCGUACCCGUUUUACCUGUUAUGGGAGGAGCAAUGAUGCCACCUAUUCCUAUGCCAGCUAUGCACUCUGUGCCCACUAUGCCUGCACCUACAUCCAUAACCUCAGUGCCCACAGCACCCCCUGUUUCCCCAAAACCUUCAGUGUCUUCAAUGCCAGCUAUGCCUUCUAUGCCAGCUUUGCCUGCUAUGCCACCUAUUCCAGCUUUACCUAAUGUGCCACCACUGACUGAUGUGCCAGGAGUGGAUCACAACAUCUUAGCACAGCAACAGCAAGCCAUCAUCAAUCAGCAAGCAAUUAUACUGGUGAGUAUUGUAAAAGCCCUGGUUCACAGUCUGAAAGUUGUUCAUGUUUGAUUCUGUUCAGAAUGCACCCUGUUACAUAUCUAAUUACUGGUCUGUUGUGCUGCAUAAUAGGCUCAACAAAUGACCAUGCAGGCGAUGGCCCUUCAGCAGCAGAUGUAUAAUUCAGUGGGAGGGCCGUACUCUGGUCCCCCUCAUCACAGCGAGCAUAUACCAAUGUCUCACUCUGGCCAAUCCAGCCCCACGAAGUUUGAAACUGGACCAAUACCGUACACUCAAGCUCCUGUUGCCCCUGCAAACAGGCCUUCUCGACGUCAUCACAGCCCAUCCAGGACAGUACCAACAGAAAAUGUAGUCAAGUCCACCAUCUCAAACUCAGAGCAUCUAGAACCAAGCCACAACAUCAAAGACAUAAUCAAACAGUAUCAGCCCGGUCCUGUCAAGCCAGUAGAGAUCCCAAGAAAAGAAACAAAAGUGUUUGUUAAGAAGCCAGAUCCACACCAUGAAGC
ensembl:lncRNA